GCCUCAGAUUUGUGAUUUUGGGCUGGCCAAGUGGCUACCCAGACAUUGGACUCACCACAAUGUAUCAAAAUUUGAAGGCACAUUCGGCUACUUUGCUCCUGAAUACUUCAUGCAUGGCAUAGUUGAUGAGAAAACUGAUAUAUAUGCCUUUGGUGUGUUGCUUUUGGAGGUCAUAACUGGGCGCCCGGCUGUGGAUCAUUUACAGCAGAGCGUAGUGAUAUGGGCAAAGAAUUUGCUUAAUAACAAUAGCAUCAAGGAGCUUGUUGAUCCUUCUCUUGGUGACAACUAUGAACCAGAAGAGAUGGAGCGCGUUGUUUUGACUGCCUCAUUGUGCGUUGAGCAGUCUCCUAUUCUUCGUCCUCGCAUGAAUCAGGUUGUGAUACUGCUAAAAGGUGAUGAAUAUGCUAAAGAGUAUGCAAAUGAAGGCAACAAGAAGGCAUUGCAAAGAACUUACUCUGAAGAGCUCUUAGACGUUCAAGAAUACAACUCAACCAAGUAUCUGAAUGAUAUGAAACGGCACAGAGAGCUUGCUUUGGAAUGUUGAAUUGAAAGCAAAAGAAUCGCAUAUUU
rnacentral:misc_RNA from 1 species